rnacentral:lncRNA from 1 species
UGGGAGACGGUGGCGGCUUAGAAGGCAUUGUCUGCGAAUUUUAAGCAUUGACUUUGAGAAGUGUCUUCCACUCACCACAACCGAAGAAAUCACCAUGUCCAAGGCUCUAUUCCUCGUUCUUGCUGCCCUCCUCAUCGUCGCCGUCGUGGCUGACUUUGACUUCGAAGAAGAUGAAGCCAUGGAUGAGAUGCUCUCCUUCGACAAGAGAGGAAGCAUGAUGAACAAGUACAGAUUCUGUAUGAAGGGAGCCAACAGCUGCUGGUGUAAUAAGAAGACCAGGAAGGUUGUCUUCUGUACUGGAAAGGACUAGACACUUCUCUUCGGUAUAUUAACCCUUGACCCCCCAAGAUACCAAAUUGAACACUCAUCCUGCCAACAUCCAUCGACCAGAUACCAGUCCAACCGAAACGAGAUAGCAAGCUUGUUCAUCUCUAAGAUAUGAAGUCUUUAUUUUUGUAUCAAAAAGUGAACUAACCUUUUCGAAGACAGCGCAAAUAGGGCUGACGAGCCCAAUUUUUUGGAAAGAAUGUCCAUAAUUUGAUAAAAUUGUAAAAUUUGCCAGACGAUUAAAAUCGUAAUAACCCCUCCUUACAAUUGAA